CAGAGCUAGAGGGAAGAGAAGAGGAAGAGAGUUAGAGAAGAACACAGGUGAGUUAUACUGUUGAUAUAGAGAAGAACACAGGUGAGUUAUACUGUUGAUAUAGAGAAGAACACAGGUGAGUUAUACUGUUGAUAUAGAGAAGAACACAGGUGAGUUAUACUGUUGAUAUAGAGAAGAACACAGGUGAGUUAUACUGUUGAUAUAGAGAAGAACACAGGUGAGUUAUACUGUUGAUAUAGAGAAGAACACAGGUGAGUUAUACUGUUGAUAUAGAGAAGAACACAGGUGAGUUAUACUGUUGAUAUAGAGAAGAACACAGGUGAGUUAUACUGUUGAUAUAGAGAAGAACACAGGUGAGUUAUACUGUUGAUAUAGAGAAGAACACAGGUGAGUUAUACUGUUGAUAUAGAGAAGAACACAGGUGAGUUAUACUGUUGAUAUAGAGAAGAACACAGGUGAGUUAUACUGUUGAUAUAGAGAAGAACACAGGUGAGAUAUACUGUUGAUAUAGAGAAGAACACAGGUGAGUUAUACUGUUGAUAUAGAGAAGAACACAGGUGAGUUAUACUGUUGAUAUAGAGAAGAACACAGGUGAGUUAUACUGUUGAUAUAGAGAAGAACACAGGUGAGAUAUACUGUUGAUAUAGAGAAGAACACAGGUGAGUUAUACUGUUGAUAUAGAGAAGAACACAGGUGAGUUAUACUGUUGAUAUAGAGAAGAACACAGGUGAGUUAUACUGUUGAUAUAGAGAAGAACACAGGUGAGUUAUACUGUUGAUAUAGAGAAGAACACAGGUGAGUUAUACUGUUGAUAUAGAGAAGAACACAGGUGAGUUAUACUGUUGAUAUAGAGAAGAACACAGGUGAGUUAUACUGUUGAUAUAGAGAAGAACACAGGUGAGUUAUACUGUUGAUAUAGAGAAGAACACAGGUGAGUUAUACUGUUGAUAUAGAGAAGAACACAGGUGAGUUAUACUGUUGAUAUAGAGAAGAACACAGGUGAGUUAUACUGUUGAUGUAUAAACAGUCAAAUGUGUUGUUAAGUGUUAGAAACACCUGACAUUGUCUCAUUUAAUUGCUAGAAUUUAGUUGUAUUUAAUUUAAUUUAACAUCUCUCACUGUUCUCUCCCCCCUCCUUCUCCUCAUUGUCGGUGCUGUUGAGUUUGAGUCG